AAACAGUUAUCAUUAUUUAUAUUUAUUACAGGGUAACCAAUUAUUAAGUCUUCAGGAACGAAAGGUGGAGCCAAUUUAUCUAAAAAGCUAUUAACUAAAUGAAAAGGGAUUGAUUUUGGAGAUGAAUCUUUGUAUGCAGAUCUAAACCUUCUUAUAUUUUGCCAUACAAGAGAUGGUUUGACAUCAGCAAAUUUUCUUCUCUUUACUGCCUCAGUACCUACAUUCGUUAUCCCACCAAGGAGGAGAAGGAAUAAAACCCAAAGAGCUAUUUUUACUUGGAAAUAUCUCAUUGGCAACCUCAAUAAAGAUUCUUGCUAAAGAAUCUGCACACUGAGAUUCUGUACCUGGAUUAAUUUUUGGAAGUGUUGGAAAUGAUAAUAAUAGUGGGAAGUGAUCACUACCAAAAGUAGAUCGUAAUGGAUCCCAGGACAAAGAAGAAGCAAGAUUAGGUGUAGUGACUGUUAAAUCUGGAGCACUUGGGCCCUCGUCAGGAUGAGAACGUCGUGUAGGACGACCAUCAUUUAAUAUACACAAAUUCACUGAAUCAAAUAUAUCUAUUAAUGUGUUACCAUAACUAUUAGAAGAUAAGUAACCCCAGGAUUCAUGGCGACAGUUAAAAUCACCAAGGAUCAUAAAAGGCUUCAGUAGAAUGAAAAUAAUAUCUUUGAUUUCAUUUAAGAUUGCAGAAGAAGGAUGAGGUAUAUAAAUAGAUACAUAACAGAUAUUUUCAACUAAAGCAGCAAUAAUAGAAAAAUCAUUACUGUGAGAAGGAAUAGAGAAGAGAGAAAAGGAAAGAGGGUGUUUCACAAGCAUGGCUACUCCGCCAUGCCCAUCCACAUGAUCUUCUCUGAGACAUGAAUAACCUCGAAUCUUAAAUAAAGAUCCUGGUUUCAACCAUGUCUCUUGAAGAGCACAGAUAUAAGGUUUAUAUUUAUUUAAUAAAUAAAUAAGAUCACUUUUUUUAGGAGUGAUGCUUUGACAAUUCCAUUGAAGAACUUUGUCCAUUAUUUGGUUUAUAAAUUUGAGUAAUUGCAGAAACUAAUAAGGCAGCGAUGGACGGUGAAAAUUCAUUCGAUUGACUAAGAGAUUUUAUAAGAGAAAUAAUUAAAUCAAUUACUGAGGAUUCCAAAGGAUUUUCAUUUACUUUGUUAAUUAAUGCACAUCCAUUAGAGGGUUGGGGAAUAUUAAAAUCCCUUAAAAUUUCUUGAUUCCCUUGUGACCCAACACGAUGUGGACAAUGGACAUCAAUCGUCAGCAAACAGAGGUGUGAAGAUUUUCAUAAGCCGAAUAAGUCUAGCGUCGUUUGUUAAGACCACUUUUUGGACAAAGAUAUAUAUGUAACUGCAAAAGGCAGAAGACGUCUUCUGAAAACGGCUGUUCCUACUGUAGUGAUACAAUUGCCGGAUGGUAGCGUUAAUACUGAAGAGUCUACGAUUUCACUGUUUGACGCGGAAAAUAACAAGAAAUUCAUAUCUUCUACUGGUUCCCUAAGUAUAGGCUCAAUUUUAGACACACCUCGAAAAUAGUAAAAAAAACACAACGAAAGCCUACGUGUGUUCCUUGGUUUUAAAACGUGCCUUGUAUUUAAAUAUAUUUUCUAGCAUUGAUACACAUUCGCUUCAACAACCUGCUUUAUUCAAUCACAAAAUUAGUCUUAUAAAAGCUAUUAUAGAAAAGUUCGUAGACGUUCGUUUACAUCGCAAAAAAAAACAACAGAAAACUUUAAAUCGAAUUCAAAGCGACAACUUUAUAAUAAACUAAAUUUAUUCCAAGGAAAUUGAUGUGUUACCUAGUGUUAAACAAUAAUAAUUAUGACCAAGACUUUUAAAAAA